rnacentral:rRNA from 1 species
CAGCCGCCGCGGUAAUACGAAGGGGGCUAGCGUUGUUCGGAAUUACUGGGCGUAAAGCGCACGUAGGCGGAUAUUUAAGUCAGGGGUGAAAUCCCAGAGCUCAACUCUGGAACUGCCUUUGAUACUGGGUAUCUUGAGUAUGGAAGAGGUGAGUGGAAUUCCGAGUGUAGAGGUGAAAUUCGUUGAGAUCGGAAAGAACACCAACGGCGAAAGCACUCUGCUGGGCCGAAACUGACACUGAGAGAUGAAAGCUAGGGGAGAAAAUGGGAUUAGAUACCCCUGUAGUCCCUGUCUCUUAUAC